GUUGGUGUAGCUCAGUGGUAGAGUGAAUGCUUCGUAUGUAUGAUGUCCCGUGUUCAAUCCCCAUUCUCCUCA